UGUAAACAUCCUUGACUGGAAGCUGGUGCGUAAUAUGGAGCUUUCAGUCGGAUAUUUGCA
rnacentral:pre_miRNA from 1 species